AGUACAGACGAGUUUGAUCAUGGCUCAGGAUGAACGCUAGCGGCAGGCUUAAUACAUGCAAGUCGAGGGGUAACAGGGGUAGCAAUACCUGCUGACGACCGGCAAACGGGUGCGGAACACGUACGCAACCUUCCCAAAACUGGUGAAUAGCCCUCCGAAAGGAGGAUUAAUACACCGUAACAUAAUGAAGUGGCAUCACUUUAUUAUUAUAACUCCGGUGGUUUUGGAUGGGCGUGCGACUGAUUAGGUAGUUGGCGGGGUAACGGCCCACCAAGCCUGCGAUCAGUAACUGGUGUGAGAGCACGACCAGUCACACGGGCACUGAGACACGGGCCCGACUCCUACGGGAGGCAGCAGUAAGGAAUAUUGGUCAAUGGACGAAAGUCUGAACCAGCCAUGCCGCGUGAAGGAUGAAGGUCCUCUGGAUUGUAAACUUCUUUUAUAGGGGACGAAAAAGGGAAUUCUUUCUCACUUGACGGUACCCUAGGAAUAAGCACCGGCUAACUCCGUG
rnacentral:rRNA from 1 species